rnacentral:tRNA from 9 species
GGGCGCGUAGCUCAGUGGUAGAGCACACCCUUCACACGGGUGGGGUCGCUGGUUCAAUCCCAGCCGCGCCCACCA